UACGUAGGCAGCGAGCGUUGUUCGGAAUUACUGGGCGUAAAGAGUGUGUAGGCGGUGCUCUAAGUUCGGUGUGAAAGUCGGGGGCUCAACCCUCGGAUGCCGGUGGAUACUGUCGGGCUUGAGUACGGAAGAGGCGAGUGGAAUUCCUGGUGUAGCGGUGAAAUGCGCAGAUAUCAGGAGGAACACCAAUUGCGAAGGCAGCUCGCUGGGACGUUACUGACGCUGAGACGCGAAAGCGUGGGGAGCAAACAGG
rnacentral:rRNA from 1 species